UACGGAGGGUGCGAGCGUUGUCCGGAAUCACUGGGCUUAAAGGGUGCGUAGGCGGGCUCGCGAGUCAGGGGUGAAAUCCCACGGCCCAACCGUGGAAGUGCCUCUGAUACCGCGGGCCUCGAGGGGGAUAGGGGCGUGCGGAACUUCCGGUGGAGCGGUGAAAUGCGUAGAUAUCGGAAGGAACACCGGUGGCGAAAGCGGCGCGCUGGAUCACUACUGACGCUGAGGCACGAAAGCCAGGGGAGCAAACGGG
rnacentral:rRNA from 1 species